rnacentral:rRNA from 1 species
GGGUGCGAGCGUUGUCCGGAAUUAUUGGGCGUAAAGGGCUCGUAGGCGGUCUGUUGCGUCGGGAGUGAAAACUCAGGGCUUAACCCUGAGCCUGCUUCCGAUACGGGCAGACUAGAGGUAUGCAGGGGAGAACGGAAUUCCUGGUGUAGCGGUGAAAUGCGCAGAUAUCAGGAGGAACCCCGGUGGCGAAGGCGGUUCUCUGGGCAUUACCUGACGCUGAGGAGCGAAAGUGUGGGGAGCGAACAGG